AAACCCAGGUGGAUGCUUGAUUUGGCAGCUAAAAUUGGAAUGAUACAGAGAUUAGCAUGGCCCCUGCACAAGGAUGACACAGGAAUUAAUGAAUUGUUCCAUAUUUAA